GACCGCUCCGGUGGCCUAAUGGUUGCAGCGUUCGCCUCAGAUGUGAGAGGUCGCGGGUUCGAACCCCAUCCGAGUUA